CAGGGAUCGAACCCAGACCGGCCACAUGCAAGGCAAAUGUCCUCCCCGCUGUGCUCUUGCUCUGGUCCCAGAAAUAGUGGUAUUUUGAUGAUAUAAGUAACUGAGCUUCCUGGGGUAAACAGAUUUGUUUGGGAUUUGGGAAGCUGUUCCUGGGAUAGACUCGAGACUCUUGUGUCUCUACGUCCAUGGCUCCUCCAGAACCCUGUUGGAAUGUGUUUUCAUUGGUUCAAAAGCUUUUUACUGUGACGCCAUCGUAGAUGAGGGCCUGGCCCAGCCUGGAUGACCCUCUGCUUGGUGCACUGUUGGUGCUGCUGAUGUUCCCAGUGGCCCUUAAUGAAAUGCAGCUGAACUGGCUUCAGACACAAUGCAGGGUGACUCCUCCUGGGCCAUUGAUUUAUCUGGUCCAAGCUGGCAAGAGUUUGGUCCGAGUCUAGAGAGAUAGCAUGGAGGUAAAGCAUUUGCUUUGCGUGCAGAAGGUCGUUGGUUCAAAUCCUGGCAUCCCGUGUGGUCCCCCGUGCCUGCCAGGAGCAAUUUCUGAGCGUAGAGCCAGGAGAAACCCCUGAGCACUUCUGGGUAUGACCCAAAAACCAA